rnacentral:rRNA from 1 species
GACGAGGGGUGCGAGCGUUAUUCGGAAUUAUUGGGCGUAAAGGGUGUGUAGACGGUAUAUUAAGUCUGUUAUUAAAUCUCCCGGCUCAACCGGGAAUAUGUGGUGGAUACUGGUAUGCUAGAGGGUGGAAGAGAGAAGUGGAAUUCUCGGAGUAGCGGUAAAAUGCGUAGAUCUCGAGAGGAACACCAAUGGCGAAGGCAGCUUCUUGGUCCAUUUCUGACGUUGAAACACGAAAGCGUGGGGAGCAAACAGGAUUAGAUACCCUGGUAGUCCACGCUGUAAACGAUGAUCACUAGACGUCAGUUUCGCUUGCGAAAUUGGUGUCGUAGCUAACGCGUUAAGUGAUCCGCCUGGGGAUUACGGUCGCAAGACUAAA